UACGGAGGGGGCUAGCGUUGUUCGGAAUUACUGGGCGUAAAGCGUGCGUAGACGGUUAUUUAAGUCGGGUGUGAAAGCCCCCGGGCUCAACCUGGGAAUUGCAUUCGAGACUGAAUAGCUAGGGUACGGUAGAGGGAAGUGGAAUUUCCGGUGUAGCGGUGAAAUGCGUAGAUAUCGGAAGGAACAUCAGUGGCGAAAGCGACUUCCUGGACCAGUACCGACGUUCAGGCACGAAAGCGUGGGGAGCAAACAGG
rnacentral:rRNA from 1 species